UUUAUUUAAAUAAUUUAAUUAAAAUAUUGAUUUGUGGUAUCAAAAAUAUGAAAUAAAAUUCCUUUUAA
rnacentral:tRNA from 1 species